rnacentral:piRNA from 1 species
UCCUACUCUGCCAGAGUCUUCUUGAAAGG